UCACCAACUUCCUUAACCUUCUAGCACUAGAUAGGUGUAAUGAUCUAGGCACUGUCUCGGAGAGAGGUUCGGUGAAAUAGACAUGUCUGUGAAGAUGCAGACUACUUGCACCUGGACAGAAAGACCCUAUAAAGCUUCAUUGUUCC